ensembl:lncRNA
AAUCUGAUCUUGCUCCUUUCCUCCCAAAUGCCACGCAGUCAUCUCAAUUCACUUCAUCUGCGGCAGUGACUUACCUUCUUUCUUGCUAACUCUGCAUUCCAGCAAAAAAAUUGAAAUGAAAGGAGAAGCUUAUGAAUCCAGACUGAUGCAAAGGUAACUGCUACCCUUCAAUAUUCGACCCUAUCUUCUAUCUGAAGACUCUUACUAAUUGUUGGAGACUCAUUUACCAUCAAAGGACACAGGUCCCAUGGUAUUCAUGCAAGCCACUUACAACAUCAGUCUCCCUGCUCUUGCAAGUGAACCUACUUGUAAGGACAUUUCCUUGGGGCUAAUGGCUUUAUGAAUGUUGACAUCUGUUGCAUGCAGUAAAUUGAAGAUGAAGGAACUAAAAGUAUUUUCCAGCAAGACCACUUCUGGUGCAUCAGUUCCAAGUUCUUCUGGCAGGAAAGAUCUUCCUGUGGUCACACAGCAUCUGACAUCUUCCCCAUCAUGUGCCCCAUGUUACAAAGCCCACUGCAUUGAAGAUGAAACCACAGGGAUUAGUCCUGAUUGUACAAUGCCAUGUGAACACGAAGGAUGUUUAUAGUUUAAAAAAUAUUUCCUCUUUCUCCCGGGCUACAUUUUUCAGACCAAUCCUGACCUGUUUUGUAAAAGAAGAUAUAUUCAGUAAGACCACAGACCAUCCACAGAGCUUUUUGGUCUCCAACAAUCUCCAGUUAAUGACUGCCUGUUGGGAAAAAGCAUAAAAAGGAAAAUGUACACUGAUGUUCCCACAUUUUAGCUUUCCAGCUUCCUACAAUCUGUGGCUAUGCAGUUUCCUGACCUGGGGGUUAUUUCUUUGUCUAUCACUCUGUGGUGGAUUUUCCUUCCAUGUUUUUAUCUAAUUGCUUUUUGAACCCGUGAAAACUUAUGACACUCACAACAUCCCAUGGCAAUGAGUUUCAUAGUUUAAUUACGUGCUUCAUGAAAAAGUGUUUUCCUUUAAUCAUUUUGAACCCACCUUCAUUUGAUACCUCCAAGAUUUUGUAUUACAAGAAAUUGCUCUUUCUUCACUCUUUCCAUGUUUGUCAUGAUUUCAUUGGCAUCUGUCACAUCCUUGAAAAAUUACUUUCCUUGCUGAAGAGACUCAUUUUAGUUUAUCUCCCUUAACAUGGAACCUCUUUCAUAUCUUUAAGUAUCUUGGCUAUUUCUUUCUUUAUUUUAUAUUUUUUUUAUCCUGUUUAUAUAGAAAGACAUCUCAUACAGUAAUUUGUACCUCCCUAAGCAUCAUUUUAUCAUUCAAGUACAGGAGAACUUUAUAUCCACUUUUGGCCGCAAAGAUGUGAAUCUGCAGAGAGUUUGGUUCUCCACAUUCAAUAAAUAUUAAGCAGUUUCUAUUUAUCAUGGAAAAAAUUCUAUUCUGGCUUGUGAUGUG